rnacentral:tRNA from 1 species
GUCUCCAUCGUCUAGAGGCCUAGGACAGCGGGUUCUCAUCCCGCCAACCCCGGUUCGAAUCCGGGUGGAGAUGCCA